UCCGCCCUACGGGGGGCAGCAGUGAGGAAUAUUGCACAAGGGGGGAAACCCUGAUGCAGCGACGCCGCGUGAGUGAGGAAGGAUUUCGGUAUGUAAAGCUCUAUCAGCAGGGAAGAAAAUGACGGUACCUGACUAAGAAGCCCCGGCUAACUACGUGCCAGCAGCCGCGGUGCUACGUAGGGGGCAAGCGUUAUCCGGCUUUACUGGGUGUAAAGGGAGCGUAGACGGAAGUGCAAAUCUGUUGUGAAAAUCCGGGGCCCAACCCCGGCAC
rnacentral:rRNA from 1 species